UACGAAGGGUGCAAGCGUUACUCGGAAUUACUGGGCGUAAAGGGUGCGUAGGUGGUCGUUUAAGUCCGUUGUGAAAUCCCACGGCUCAACCGUGGAACUGCUUGGUAUACUGGAUGUCUUGAGCCAUCUAGGGGCUACCGGAACAAAUGGUGGAGCGGUGAAAUGCGUAGAUAUCAUUUGGAACGCCAAUGGUGAAAACAGGUAGCUGGGGAUGUGCUGACGCUGAGACACGAAAGCCAGGGGAGCAAACGGG
rnacentral:rRNA from 1 species